AGUGAACGCUGGCGGUAGGCCUAACACAUGCAAGUCGAACGGCAGCACAGUAAGAGCCUGCUCUUACGGGUGGCGAGUGGCGGACGGGUGAGGAAUACAUCGGAAUCUACUUUUUCGUGGGGGAUAACGUAGGGAAACUUACGCUAAUACCGCAUACGACCUACGGGUGAAAGCAGGGGAUCUUCGGACCUUGCGCGAUUGAAUGAGCCGAUGUCGGAUUAGCUAGUUGGCGGGGUAAAGGCCCACCAAGGCGACGAUCCGUAGCUGGUCUGAGAGGAUGAUCAGCCACACUGGAACUGAGCCACGGUCCAGACUCCUACGGGAGGCAGCAGUGGGGAAUAUUGGACAAUGGGCGCAAGCCUGAUCCAGCCAUACCGCGUGGGUGAAGAAGGCCUUCGGGUUGUAAAGCCCUUUUGUUGGGAAAGAAAAGCAGCAGGUUAAUACCCCGCUGUUCUGACGGUACCCAAAGAAUAAGCACCGGCUAACUUCGUG
rnacentral:rRNA from 1 species